rnacentral:snRNA from 1 species
GUGCUCCCUUUGGCAGCACAUAUACUAAAAUUGGAAUGAUACAGAGAAGAUUAGCAUGGCCCUUGCACAAGGAUGAAGUGAAACAUAUUCUU